rnacentral:lncRNA from 1 species
UUUUUUUUAGAUAAAGUUUAAUUUUUUAAUUUCAGAUCUUUGCUUUUCAGUCCUAAUUUCUUUAAAUCAUCCAAAAGCUCAUGAAAUGCUUCUUGUUAUUCAUCAUAAAAAAAUUCAUUUUGAGUUUCAGUGAUUACAUCAUUUUUAUAUACCAUAAGGCACAAGUUGGCUUCUUCAUGGGAUUCAUCAUCUGAGGUGGAGUCAUCAUUAUCGCUCCACGUAGCCAUCAUUGUCCUUUUCUUCUUGAACUUUUUUGGACC